CCUAGUAUUAGCACCAAGGUCCAUAAAGAAGUUUUUCUCCUACUCCUCCAAGUUUACUGAAAAUUGUUUCUUCUAUUUAAAUAGAAUAUCUUCUUUCUUUUUUUCCAUUGCAAGAAACACCUACACUUAGACACAUAAUUCUGCAAGUGAUACGUCAGUGUGGAAAGAUCUCAGUUACCUUGGUUUUACUUUGCCAUUUAAUAAGUGAUUCGGGGCCAGGCAGAUCCUUGAUCUGCUCUUCACUUCCUUUGCUACAGCUGCCUUUCCUUCCCUGAUGAUAUUCUGACUUGUUCGGCUUCUCCAUUUGUUGAUCCUCAUGGCUAUAGGCGAAGGCAUCUCUAAACAUUGACAAACUCUUCCUGCAAACCAGCUCCAAAGGCUUCUCUACCACGUGGUGAAGAGGAAAAUUUGAACCCAGAGACAUAGAAAUGGAGGGUGAAUACAGAGACAAAACUGGAGCGGUACAUCUGUAAGUCAAGGAACAGCAAGGAUUUCCAGCAAUCACCAGAAACUGAGAGAAGCACGGAGUGGGGAUCUUUUGUCAGAGCUUCUGGUCUGCAGACACCUUGAAUUUGUACUUUGGCCUUCAGACCUAUGAAAGAAUAAAUGUCUCUUGUUUUAAGAUAUCUAGUUUGUGAUAAUUUGUAUGUCAACCCUAAGAAACCAAACAUCCAGUAUUUCUUCUCUGGAUGUCAAAAACCUGU